AGAGUUUGAUCCUGGCUCAGAUUGAACGCUGGCGGCAUGCUUUACACAUGCAAGUCGAACGGCAGCGCGGGCUUCGGCCUGGCGGCGAGUGGCGAACGGGUGAGUAAUAUAUCGGAACGUACCCAAGAGUGGGGGAUAACGUAGCGAAAGUUACGCUAAUACCGCAUACGAUCUAAGGAUGAAAGCAGGGGAUCGCAAGACCUUGUGCUCCUGGAGCGGCCGAUAUCUGAUUAGCUAGUUGGUGGGGUAAAGGCCCACCAAGGCAACGAUCAGUAGCUGGUCUGAGAGGACGACCAGCCACACUGGAACUGAGACACGGUCCAGACUCCUACGGGAGGCAGCAGUGGGGAAUUUUGGACAAUGGGGGCAACCCUGAUCUAGCAAUGCCGCGUGAGUGAAGAAGGCCUUCGGGUUGUAAAGCUCUUUUGUCAGGGAAGAAAAGGCUGUGGCUAAUAUCUACAGCUGCUGACGGUACCUGAAGAAUAAGCACCGGCUAACUACGUGCCAGCAGCCGCGGUAAUACGUAGGGUGCAAGCGUUAAUCGGAAUUACUGGGCGUAAAGCGUGCGCAGGCGGUUUCGUAAGUCUGUCGUGAAAUCCCCGGGCUUAACCUGGGAAUGGCGAUGGAGACUGCGAGGCUAGAGUUUGGCAGAGGGGGGUAGAAUUCCACGUGUAGCAGUGAAAUGCGUAGAGAUGUGGAGGAACACCGAUGGCGAAGGCAGCCCCCUGGGUCAAAACUGACGCUCAUGCACGAAAGCGUGGGGAGCAAACAGGAUUAGAUACCCUGGUAGUCCACGCCCUAAACGAUGUCUACUAGUUGUUGGGUCUUAAUUGACUUAGUAACGCAGCUAACGCGCGAAGUAGACCGCCUGGGGAGUACGGUCGCAAGAUUAAAACUUAAAGGAAUUGACGG
rnacentral:rRNA from 1 species